GUCCUAAAGAUUAAUAACUAGAUGUGUUCCUAUUAUCUGUUUAAUAGAAACCACCUCCUUACCAGUCCAAUCUCCCUUGGGCUGGUUUCUUU
rfam:Leminorella grimontii ATCC 33999 = DSM 5078 strain ATCC 33999 GLGR.assembly.11, whole genome shotgun sequence.